rnacentral:rRNA from 1 species
CGGGUACUCGAGUGGCGAACGGGUGAGUAACACGUGGGUAACCUGCCCCCAUCUCUGGGAUAACCGUUGGAAACGGCGGCUAAUACCGGAUACGACCAUUGUCCGCAUGGACGGUGGUGGAAAGUUUUUGCGGUUGGGGAGGGGCCCGCGGCCUAUCAGCUGGUUGGUGGGGUGAUGGCCUACCAAGGCGGUGACGGGUAGCCGGCCUGAGAGGGCGGUCGGUCACAUUGGGACUGAGAUACGGCCCAGACUCCUACGGGAGGCAGCAGUGGGGAAUUUUGCACAAUGGGCGCAAGCCUGAUGCAGCGACGCCGCGUGAGGGAUGACGGCUUUCGGGUUGUAAACCUCUUUUAUCCACCACGAAGGCCAGGUAUUCGCCUGGUUGACGGUAGUGGUUGAAUAAGCGCCGGCUAACUACGUGCCAGCAGCCGCGGUAAGACGUAGGGCGCGAGCGUUGUCCGGAUUUAUUGGGCGUAAAGGGCUCGUAGGCGGCCCGCUGCGUCUGCCGUGAAAGGCCUCGGCUUAACCGGGGUUUUGCGGUGGAUACGGGCGGGCUUGAGGCAAGUAGGGGAAACUGGAAU